rnacentral:rRNA from 1 species
GAUGAACGCUGGCGGCGUGCCUAAUACAUGCAAGUCGAGCGAACAGACGAGGAGCUUGCUCCUCUGACGUUAGCGGCGGACGGGUGAGUAACACGUGGAUAACUUACCUAUAAGACUGGGAUAACUUCGGGAAACCGGAGCUAAUACCGGAUAAUAUAUUGAACCGCAUGGUUCAAUAGUGAAAGACGGUUUUGCUGUCACUUAUAGAUGGAUCCGCGCCGCAUUAGCUAGUUGGUAAGGUAACGGCUUACCAAGGCAACGAUGCGUAGCCGACCUGAGAGGGUGAUCGGCCACACUGGAACUGAGACACGGUCCAGACUCCUACAGGAGGCAGCAGUAGGGAAUCUUCCGCAAUGGGCGAAAGCCUGACGGAGCAACGCCGCGUGAGUGAUGAAGGUCUUCGGAUCGUAAAACUCUGUUAUUAGGGAAGAACAAAUGUGUAAGUAACUAUGCACGUCUUGACGGUACCUAAUCAGAAAGCCACGGCUAACUACGUG